ACCCCCUGGCAAUGGCAAAGAAACACCUUGUCGGUGAUGCUGCUCUUACAUCAGUCAGGGGCAAAGCAGAGGGCAUGCCUUUGUUUAGCUUAGCUUGAUGCCUGGCUUGGUGGCCAAAGCUCUCUUAUGCCUAGGACACAUAA